CUCACUGUUGCGGCCUCUCCCGUUGCGGAGCACAGGCUCCGGACGCGCAGGCUCAGCGGCCAUGGCUCACGGGCCCAGCCACUCCGCGGCAUGUGGGAUCUUCCCGGACCGGGGCACGAACCUGUGUCCCCUGCAUCGGCAGGCGGACUCUCAACCACUGCACCACCAGGGAAGCCCUAGGGUUCUUCUUGAAUUAAUUUUUGUGUAUGGUGCGAGGUAAGGGGUCAGGGUUCAUUUGUUUUUUCACCUGGUAUGGAUAUCCAGUUUUCCAGCAACCUUUGUUGGAAACAUUUUCCUUUCCCCACAGGAUUUCUUUGAUGCUUUUGUUGAAAAUCAAAUGACCUCAUCAAUAUCUAUUUAUGGCAGGAAUUCUGUUUUUUAAAAGCUCUUCCGGUGACUCUGAUGUACAUCCCUAGGGUGCAAGCCCUUGAGGUCCUAACCAUUUGCUGGUAAGAUGGUUGGUGAUUUAGAACGUUCAAGAAAUGGAAGCCACGAACGAGGUAGGUAAUUGAUUUCUUUAUCAAGAUGCCGGGCGAUACAUUUUUCACAGCUUUCAGGGAGCACAGAACAUCUAAAUCCAUUGUCUGGCAGAUGAAGCUUUCAGCUGCAAUCAUCUUUAUCUUUAUCAUCAGGGCUUUCUCCAGUUGCGGCGAGCGGGGGCCACGCUUCAUCGCAGUGCGCGGGCCUCUCACUAUCGCGGCCUCUCUUGUUGCGGAGCACAGGCUCCGGACGCGCAGGCUCAGCAGCCAUGGCUCACGGGCCCAGUUGCUCCGCGGCAUGUGGGAUCUUCCCAGACCAGCGCUAUGAACCCGUGUCCCCUGCAUCGGCAGUAGGACUCUCAACCACUGCGCCACCAGGGAAGCCCUAGAUCAUUUUUAAUGCGCGGCAUGUGGGCUCUUAGUUCCCCCACCAGGGAUGGAAGUCGUGCCCCCCGCAGUGGAAGCGCGGAGUCCUAACCACUGGACCGCCAGGGAAUUCCCUGACUGAUCAUUCUCUACAUCAUGGAAUAGACUUCUCUUCCUGUUCUUUCAUCUCUGAAAUGUAAAUGAUUCUCCAAGGUCUAUAUGAGGUGCUCUUUCUCUCUCUGCACUUCCUCUCAUAGCAGUUUAACUUAUCCACGUGGCUGCCACUUUCAUCUCAAUGAGGCUGGCCCCCAAAUCAUACCUCUAGUUUUUUGUUUGUUUGUUUGUUUGUUUGUUUUGCGGUACGCGGGCCUCUCACUGCUGUGGCCUCUCCCGUUGCGGAGCACAGGCUCCGGACGCGCAGGCUCAGCGGCCAUGGCUCACGGGCCCAGCCGCUCCGCGGCCUGUGGGAUCUUCCCGGACCGGGGCUCGAACCCGCGUCCACUGCAUCGGCAGGCGGACUCUCAACCACUGCGCCACCAGGGAAGCCCCAUACCUCUAGUUUUAAUCUCGCUAGAGCUUCGGUCCACAUUUCAAACUAUCUCCUAGACAUUUCCCCCUCAUUUUCCCAUCAGUAAGCCAAAUCCAGCCUACCUAAAUAAGAAGCAUCGUGGGGUCAUAAGCACAGAUGCUAGCAUUGGAAGGAACCGUAGAGAUGAUCUAAUCCAGACCUGCCGAACCAGGGAGCUAUGACACAAACUAGUGCCCAGUGAAUGAGGUAUGGGCGGGCGGAGAUGUUCAUCCUCCGACCCCCCCAGCGUGGCUGGAGCCUCCGGGCCAGUCACCCCUGUUCACUACAGCCUCAUCCUCUGAUGACCUUCAGAGAGGGGGGCGGGGUCUGAAUGUGAGGAAGAGGCCACCACUGGCAGCCAGAUGCGGGGCACAUCGUUGCCUACGUGGAGAUGCGGGAGGAGUUUGUGUCCCAGGUGCCCAAGGAACGCAAGGCGCAACCGGCGGGCAGGAAGUUGUGAACGAGUUGCGUGUGUGUGGAGGGGGUUCUGCGCAGGCAGCUCAGAAACUCCAUCUUCACAAACUCUGAUGCUGGAUAAUUUUGUCUGUCUGUGGCCGAUGUGCCACAAAUGAUGUCCAGACUGUGAACUGACUAUUCUAAUAGUGUCUGUGCUCUGUAAACUAGGGCUUCAAUCACUGUUUUGAAAUACUAGCUAUGAACAAGUCUGACUGGAUCAAAAAUCCACGAGAAAUUUUAUAAGCACAUUGGUCAAUGAAAGAAGAGGAAGAGCCUUAAAUAUAACUUAAAUAUAAUUUCUACUGUUGUAAAUGUUUGAAUGGUUAUCAAAGACGGUUUCAAUUUCUUUGGGUCACCUACUGCUUUUACAGUUUCUUGUCAUUUAAAGAGAUCACUGUUCAAGAGUCUCGGUCAGGAAC